GUUCCUGGAGAGCCAGCUGCGGAGCCAGCACUCUCAGGAGGAGGCGGAGUUGGAGGCCCUGAGGCUGCAGGUUAAACUGACCUGCUCUGAACCAUCCUCCACUGCACACCAGCAGGUAGGGCCACAUUUCAGUGGUCUGGUAUCUUGAGGUGGAUUACAGGUGGAUUACAGUGCAGAUACUGUAACUUUGGGCACCACUGCCCAAAGACAAGACCCGGUUCCUCUGCAUUGCUGCUGUCACUGCCAUGAAGGGGGCUCUGAAGGUACAUACACACACGCACACACUCUUAUCCAUUCUUAUCCGAUCGUUAUGUUUAUCUCCUAACAGAAACACUGUAAUGAUGUGGAUAUGACAGCACUGUGGCUGAAGAACACCUCCUCACACAUAGGAUAAAAAUGCUGUAUAUGUGAAGGAUCUCUAGGAUGGCGCUGUGGAUCUGGUGCCAUUGACCUUUUACCUCACUGACUUUUUACCUCAUUGACCUGAACCGUGCUCUGAGUGACUUCUUUAUCCAGGACUAUUAGCAGCUCCUGUCCAUCUCCGAGAGCCGCCUGCAGCCCACCAUCGGUACGACUGACUAAUGAUAGAACGAUAUGAAAAUCAUCCAACAACCAACCAACUCAGCCAACAACCAACCAACUCAGCCAACAACCAACCAACUCAGCCAACAACCAACCAACUAACUCUGCCAACUAAAUCUUUUCUUCCCAUCCUGCAAUAGCUUAUAUGUAUUAACAUUUAAUAUUAUGUAUUAACAUGUAAACAUUAAUAGCUCAUGUUCACCUUUACCCCCACCCUGCUCUCCCGCUUACCUCCCUCCCUCCCUCCCCCCUCUCUCCAUCCACAGUUGCUGCCAUGCUGGAGAGUGAGAUGAUCCCAGGACUGUCUGGGUCGGGGGUGAAGCUGAGGGGCUUUAGGAAGCGUGCAGGAUCUGACCCCAGGGACAGGGGUGGCCCCCAGUAUGGCUGCGGUGCUGAGGGAGCUGGGUGCUCUCCACACGGCCCUGUUCCACCAGGCCCUGCCUUCCACCCUGAUUGAGCAGGCCUUCAGCCAGCUCACCCAUCUCCUCUCUGCCUCUGCCCUCAACAGCCUGCUGCUGCACAAGGACAUGUGGAGCUGGAGGCCUGCAGAUAAGAUUGUGAAGACUCUGGCCCUGUACACCCCUCACAGUGACCUAGAGGUGAGAGCGACACUCAUUUUUAUCUGCACAGUGCAGGUACUGUACCGUGACACAUACAACAAUAAUGG
rnacentral:lncRNA from 1 species